AUAUGCUGAUUGCUAUUAAUGAUGCCAGCACCUUGGCGAGACAUAAAUACAUGUGUUCACGUUAGUUUUAUUGAGCAUGUGUAACUGUCUGAAAUAGCACCACUCAAGGGCUGUUAACCUCUUUAAGAAUAUGGCCAGGGUGGUUCGGGAGUGGACAGCUUUCAGGCGGCACCUUGAGCAUGGGACUGCAAAACCUGCAAUGUGUAGCUACUUAAAACGACAGGAAUCUCAGCCUAGUCAUCCUGGAACAAUGCCGGCACCUUGCCACACACUUGCAGCUUUACUUGUCAAAGAAGGUCAAGAUAAGAGGCAUAAACAUGAUGAAAGGAAAAAACUAAAAGGAGCUUUUCUAUCUUGUCAGGGUGCAUAAAUACAAUUACUCUAGCAGUCACAAUGUUCCCUUACGCCCUUAUCCCUGGUAAUGGGAUCCACUGAACUGGAGCUUUGGAAAGGAGCUUUGGAAAGGAGCAGGAAAGCUGGCCAUCUCUGCCUUUUUUGAAGAAUAAAAAUCAGUGGACAAUUAAAAGGCAAGGAAAAAGGAGCAAAGGGAGCGGGGUAGGAGGAAGGCGUAUGCAAGUGCACUGGAGCAUUACCUGAAAUGGCAACAGAUUGUUACCAUUAUCGGUCCGGAAAGCGUUAUCCUCCAUCCAGGACUUGGAGGUUGAUUAUGUGACCGCUCUGGCAAAAGCACUUUGACAACUGUAAGAAGAGAGGGCAUGCGCACACAAGGAACUGUGGGGGCUGAAGUCCUUCACAAGUAAGCAGAAUUCUAAGGUGGCUCUCCAAGAUUCCAGGCUAGAAGGAAACAGGAACCAUACCUGCAAUCCUGCCAACCACAAGAACAAGCUUGAAAGCAGAUUUGACCCUAACCAGAGAAACCAGUCAUGUUGCAUCAGAUUUCUGACCUACAGAAUUGUUAAUAAAUGAGUGUUGUUUUAAGCCAUUCAACUUCUGGUAAAUUUGUUGCACAGGAGUAGAGAACUAAUACAACAUUAUUCCAUUUUCUUUCAAAACACUGCUUUCCUGGCUUUUCACUUCUAAAGUUUCUUCUCAGUCUCCUGACCAUUCCUCCUCAGUCAGCUUUCCCCAGGGUUCUCCUAAUAUUCCACUGUCCCUGGGCAAUGUUAUGUUCAUGAACAAGGAAACUGAGUUCACCACUAUCGAGAUUUUCAGAUAAAAAAUCUUGUUGCUAGGUUCCAAGCCACUAUUUAACUAACACUUCUCUGAGGAUCUUACAGCACCUCUUCUCCCACAAAAGUGCUUCUGUCUUUAUUCCUAGUUAACUUACCUUAUUCUACUUAAUAGCACCACCAUCCAUGUAGUCACUCAAUUUAGGAAUCUGAACAUGACUUCAUCCUUUCCCUUCUCCAUCACUAAAGGACAAAUCCAAUUGGUCACUAAAACUUGUAAUUCCACCUCCUAAAUUUCUGCUUGACAUCCCCUCUUCUUCAUUCAUAGCCACUACAGUAUUUCACUUGAACUAUGGCAGUAAUAUCCUAAUGGCUCUCCAUCAAGUACCUUUCCAAAUACGGCCUCCUCAGUUAUUCAGUUUUACUGUGUUAUGCCUCUCCCUAAAACUCUAUAAUUACUUUUCCCUUGUCGAGGAUAAAAUGCAAACUUAACUCAUCUACUCUUCUUUCUGGCCACACCAAACAAUGACAGGCCCUUGAAUGCACAUACUCUUCUACUGUAAUGCCUCUGCACCUACUCCUUUUGCCUAAGAUACCUGUCUACCUCUGCUCACCUGCUCCUACUCACCCAUUAGAGCCCAUUUCAAAUGUUACCUCUUUGAAACUUUCCCUGACCAUAUGAGCAGAAUUGCUAUUUCUUCCUUUAUAUAUGUCUAUAACACACACAUAUCUCUAUUACAAUAUUCUUCAUACUUCAGUGCAACUAUCUGUUUGCACAUCUCUUUCCUAGAAUAGCUCCAGGAUCAGGACUCUAUUCAUCUUUGUAACCCAGGCACUGUGCCUAAAACACAGAGAUAAAAGCUUGUUGGAUAAAAGUUUGUUUUUAUAAAAGAAACUGUUUACAAAUCAAAGAACAAGGUACAAGCUUUUGCCUCAAUUUAUAAAGGCUCAGAGCACGCCUUUAACAUUAGAUGAAGAGAAAUUCUCUUGUCAUUAAGGGUAUUUCAAAAACACUGUUUAAUAACACUACAUGUAAUGUUUAAUGAAGAUAUUCCUAUUAAAAUUUGGUAUAAUUAAUUCACCCUUUCUCCUGUUGCAGGACAUUUAAAUUGCAUCUAAGUUUUUACUGUUUUCCAAACUGACUGUUUCCUUAUGCCAUAUUUGUAAAGAAAAAAUUACUUGAUUGUAAGGCAUAACAUUAAGGCUUUUGAUACAUAUUAACAAAUUCUUUAAGAACUGUUGCAGCAAUUUAUACUUUGAGAAAUAAACUAAUAUGAAAAUAAUUAUGAAUAGCAUAUACAACAAAGAAUAAUACAGCUACUGUUCUGAUAAUAACUUAAUGUAGAAAAAGUCUUUCCUCUUUGAUAUAUCAAAAUUAAGUCCCUUUCAGCAUCCCAAUAUAUUUAAUACUUUGUCAUUCUUCAUCAUACCAUCAUAUGAUAAUAGUGAAGAUAAGAUUAUAUACUUAUAGCUUGUAUUUAUUAGCUGGAUAUUCCAUUUUAAAUUAUGGUAUAUAAAUGUGUUCAUGUGUGUAUUCUAUUAGAAAAAGAUGAACAGCCUUCAUCUAUGUUCCCUAUGUUUCUAGAACUUCAAUUGUAAUUAAUUUUAUUUUAAAACCUAAUAUCCAUGAAGAUGGGCAAUAGGUAACAAACUUCCAGUUAUAAAAUAAGUAAGUCAUAGAAUUAAUACAUGCAUAUAAUGCAUAGUGACUAUAGGUAACAAUACUGUAUUGUAUAUUUGAAUAUUGCUAAGAGAAGUUCAUAUAAGAAAAAAA